rnacentral:rRNA from 1 species
AUACGACCGUACCGCAAACCGACACUGGUGCGCGAGAUGAGUAUUCUAAGGCGCUUGAGAGAACUCAGGAGAAGGAACUCGGCAAAUUGACACCGUAACUUCGGAAGAAGGUGUGCCCUAUUAGUGUGUAGUGAACAACGAAGCAUGAAUGGGUUGCAAAAAAUCGGUGGCUGCGACUGUUUAUUAAAAACACAGCACUCUGCAAACACGAAAGUGGACGUAUAGGGUGUGACGCCUGCCCGGUGCUGGAAGAUUAAAUGAUGGGGUGCAAGCUCUUGAUUGAAGUCCCAGUAAACGGCGGCCGUAACGAUAACGGUCCUAAGGUAGCGAAAUUCCUUGUCGGGUAAGUUCCGACCUGCACGAAUGGCGUAACGAUGGCCACACUGUCUCCUCCUGAGACUCAGCGAAGUUGAAAUGUUUGUGAUGAUGCAAUCUCCCCGCGGAAAGACGGAAAGACCCCAUGAACCUUUACUGUAGCUUUGUAUUGGACUUUGAACAGAUCUGUGUAGGAUAGGUGGGAGGCUUUGAAGCAGGGUCGCUAGAUCUUGUGGAGCCAACGUUGAAAUACCACCCUGGUGUGUUUGAGGUUCUAACCUAGGUCCAUUAUCUGGAUCGGGGACAGUGCAUGGUAGGCAGUUUGACUGGGGCGGUCUCCUCCCAAAGCGUAACGGAGGAGUUCGAAGGUACGCUAGUUACGGUCGGACAUCGUGACGAUAGUGCAAUGGCAUAAGCGUGCUUAACUGCGAGACUGACAAGUCGAGCAGAUGCGAAAGCAGGACAUAGUGAUCCGGUGGUUCUGUAUGGAAGGGCCAUCGCUCAACGGAUAAAAGGUACUCUGGGGAUAACAGGCUGAUACCGCCCAAGAGUUCAUAUCGACGGCGGUGUUUGGCACCUCGAUGUCGGCUCAUCUCAUCCUGGGGCUGUAGCCGGUCCCAAGGGUAUGGCUGUUCGCCAUUUAAAGAGGUACGUGAGCUGGGUUUAAAACGUCGUGAGACAGUUUGGUCCCUAUCUUCCGUGGGCGCUGCAGAUUUGAGGAAGCCUGCUCCUAGUACGAGAGGACCGGAGUGGACACACCUCUGGUGUAUCGGUUGUCACGCCAGUGGCAUUGCCGAGUAGCUAAGUGUGGAAGAGAUAACCGCUGAAAGCAUCUAAGCGGGAAACUCGUUUCAAGAUGAGAUCUGCCGGGGCCUUGAGCCCCCUAAAGAGUCGUUCAAGACCAGGACGUUGAUAGGUCAGGUGUGGAAGCCAAAAG